rnacentral:rRNA from 1 species
GACGAACGCUGGCGGCGUGCCUAAUACAUGCAAGUUGAGCGCUGAAGGUUGGUACUUGUACCAACUGGAUGAGCAGCGAACGGGUGAGUAACGCGUGGGGAAUCUGCCUUUGAGCGGGGGACAACAUUUGGAAACGAAUGCUAAUACCGCAUAAAAACUUUAAACACAAGUUUUAAGUUUGAAAGAUGCAAUUGCAUCACUCAAAGAUGAUCCCGCGCUGUAUUAGCUAGUUGGUGAGGUAAAGGCUCACCAAGGCGAUGAUACAUAGCCGACCUGAGAGGGUGCUCGGCCACAUUGGGACUGAGACACGGCCCAAACUCCUACGGGAGGCAGCAGUAGGGAAUCUUCGGCAAUGGACGAAAGUCUGACCGAGCAACGCCGCGUGAGUGAAGAAGGUUUUCGGAUCGUAAAACUCUGUUGGUAGAGAAGAACGUUGGUGAGAGUGGAAAGCUCAUCAAGUGACGGUAACUACCCAGAAAGGGACGGCUAACUACGUG